rnacentral:snRNA from 15 species
AUACUUACCUGGACGGGGUCAAUAGGCGAUCAAUAAGACCCAUGGCCUAGGUUGGUGACCUCCAUUGCACUUUGGAGGGGUGCCAAUCUAAGGUCGGCCCAAGUGGUCGAGCCUACGUCAUAAUUUGUUGCUGUGAGGGCCUGUGUUCGCGCGGCCCCUGC